rnacentral:rRNA from 1 species
UACGAAGGGGGCUAGCGUUGCUCGGAUUUACUGGGCGUAAAGGGCGCGUAGGCGGACAGUUAAGUUGGGGGUGAAAGCCCGGGGCUCAACCUCGGAAUUGCCUUCAAUACUGGCUGUCUUGAGUGCGGGAGAGGUGUGUGGAACUCCGAGUGUAGAGGUGAAAUUACGUAGAUAUUCGGAAGAACACCAGUGGCGAAGGCGACACACUGGCCCGUUACUGACGCUGAGGCGCGAAAGCGUGGGAGCAAACAGG